AUUGAACGCUGGCGGCAGGCCUAACACAUGCAAGUCGAACGAGUGGCGGACGGGUGAGUAAUAUAGCGGAAGUGCCCAGUAGCGGGGGAUAACUAAUCGAAAGAGUGGCUAAUACCGCAUACUAUUGGAGGGCCGAUAUCGGAUUAGCGAGUAGGUGAGGAAACGGUACACCUGGGCGCAGAUCCGUAGCUGGUCUGAGAGGAUGAUUAGCCACACUGUGACUGAGACACGGCCCAGACGCCUACGGAGGCAGCAGUGGGGAAUAUUGGACAAUGGGCGCAAGCCUGAUGCAGCCAGGCCGCGUGUAUGAAGAAGGCCCUAGGGUUGUAAAGUACUUUCAGUCGGGAGGCGUUACCUACAGAAGAAGCACCGGCUAACUCCGUGCCAGCCGCCGCGGUAAUAC
rnacentral:rRNA from 1 species